GACGAACGCUGGCGGCGUGCUUAACACAUGCAAGUCGAACGGAAAGGCCCCUUUGGGGGUACUCGCGUGGCGAACGAGUGAGUAACAAGUACGUAACCUGCCCUUGACUUCGGGUUAACUACAUGCAACUAGGGCGAAUACCGGAUAGGAAUCCUUUCUGCCUGGUUGGGGGUGGAAGGAUACGGUGGGUUUGGAUGGACUGACGGCUUAUUAGCCUGCUUGUUGGGGAGGUGUUUGCCAAGGAAUUCACGGGUGGGCGGCCUGGGAGGGGGGGCGGCCACAUUGGGACUGAGAUACGGGCCAGACCCCUUCGGGGGGGAGCAGGGGGGAAUAUUGCACAAAGGGCGGAAGCCCGAUGCAGCAACGCCGGGGGCGGGAAGGCGGGCUUCGGGUUGGAAACCGGUUUCAGCAGGGGAGAAGCUUGUGGUGACGGUACCGGCAGAAGAAGCACCGGCUAACUACGUG
rnacentral:rRNA from 1 species